rnacentral:lncRNA from 1 species
CUUGAGUGAACGCUUCCACGUAAGCCAGCCAAUAACUCGUUUAUAUCUUAUCAAACAUCAACAAUAGUAAUGAAUUAGACUAAGGCAACACACAUCGAAAUCAUAGGGCAUACUGAAUGCUAUAUAUGCAACCACUGGGACCAAAUAAGAGAAAAUGUUUUAUGAAAAUGAGUACAAAGGGACUAAGGCACACCAUCGUUGGGUUAUAAGGGCAGCUCUAGAUGAUUCGCUACAAACAUACGUUUACUAGUGAGGCAGCUUAAUAAUCCGCUGAUUACUCAUCCCCUAUAAAGAGUUUACGAGAUUUUACAAGUAUUCUACCAAUAAGUAUUACAAUGCUUCAAAUAAGGACAUUCCUUUCCUAUAACUCUUUUAUUAUAUUUUUUGAAACUUUUCUCUUUUAUUAUUUCAUCUUUAUAUGUAUAUAUGUCAUAAAUAGAUAUUUUAUUAUUAUUAUUUAUGCCUAACUAUUUUUUUUGAAUUUAAGUAUUUAUUUAUUUUUACUACAUAAGUUUCCUACAUUUAUAUUUUUUUACAACCAAAAAUUUUAUUUUAUAAUUAUUAUUUAUACAUAUAUUUUUUCCUAAUCUAACCCUUUUUUGUUUAUACUGAAUUUCUUUCCUAUUUUUCUUGUUUACCUAACCUAUAUUUAUGACUAAAUAUAUUUAUUUAUUCUAUAUUUUCUUUCAUUUAAAUAUAUUUCUUUAUAACUAAAUAUUUCCCAUUUUUGUACUUAAAUAUUUUUUGCUUGUAACUAAAUAUUUAACUACUUUCUACAUUUUCUUACCUAAAUAUGUAUGUAUAUAUAUUAUAUCUAAAUAUUUAUUUAUUAAUAUUAUUUUAAUUUUUAUCAAUCUAUAAUUUUUUGCUUCUCUUCUUUCAAUAUUCAUACCACAAAAAAUAAACAUCUUUUUUUUAUAUAUUUUUUACCUCAUCGUAAUCUCAUAAAAACACUUACUUUUAUUUGUCUAUUUUUUUAGCUAUAUUAAGCUCAACUUCAUGUAAUAUUCACCAAAAAUCACAAUGAUCCAUAUUCACAAAGCAAACCCAAAAUAAAAGGACAUAAACCAUACCUUGUCUGAUCUUAAAUUGAUUUAAGUCAGAUGGACUAUAAAGGCUUGCAAGCCCAUGUCAACUUUCUCCACGCAAGUCCACACCGACACACUAUCAUUUUUUUUUUUGUAGCUCCUUUUCCUCUCAAAACCAUGUCCAUUGGACUAAAACCC